AGGAAAAUGAAACACUUUAGCAUUUUUGCUUAUUGCUUUAUGUUUUUUUGAGACUGAGUCUCAUAGAGGCCCAGGCUGACUUCAAACUUGCUUUGUAGCUGAGGAUGACCUUGAACAUCUAACCCUCCUGGACUUCUAGGAUUACAGGGGACUCUCAGGGCCCAGGCUCCGACCCUAAAAGCUCUGGAAGAACACCUCUGCCUUCACUUCCCCUCUGGCUACCUGUUGCCAUGGACUCUGCCCUGGAUAUCACCUGCCCAGAUUCGGCCCCCCAUGCCCACCUGGUUUUCUUCCCCAGCCUUCAUCACAGUGGUGACUGAAGCAAUGCUCGCACCUGCUUCCAGUUGUUCUGGGACACUGGUUCAGAGAUUUUCUGCCUGAGUUUACUCAUUUCUAAACUGAAAGGCUGGAAAUGGUCCACAAAAGCUCUGCGACAAGUCAGUGCUAUUGAUUUCUGCUACCACCCUGACCCCAUGUGCACUGGCAUUACGAGCACGUGCCACUGCCCUCGCGCCCAGCUUUCCCCAUGAGCUCUGAAGGAGAAAAGCUCAAGCUCGCCUGACAAGCACUGUACUGACUGAGUGGUCUCCCUAGCCCUUCGUAUACAGUUUUCAGAAACGGCGAUGCAGGAAGAGGUGCCCAUAGAUGCCCUGGGGAAACACAGGGUGACGCUUUGGUCUCUGAGCCAAAGGAAGACACCAUUACCUAGGGAGGCUGCAUGCAGACCCCUUGACGGCGGGAAAUGCUUUGGACCGAAACCAGGACCGCGAGGGUCACAGCCUUGGUCUCCUGAGUGUCUUUACAAUGUUUAUGGAAGACUGCCUGUUGGUGAACCUGAACAUGCUGGUCUCCUGGGGAAAGGAGCAAGAGAAGUUUGGAGAGGAGUGAGCCCUCCCCUCCACGCAGAGAAGACAAGCUGCCAUGAGCCAAAGGUUUGGAGCACCUGCUAUCGUUUGAAUGUGUGUCCCUGAGUUUCUAUGUUGACACGUGGUCCACAAAUUUGUGUGUCAGUGAUGUUUAGAAGUGGGACUUUGGGAGGUGACUGGCUUGUGAGGAUUUCUUUUGCUUUCUGGGACCUUCUUUGCUGAGCCACAGACUAAUUUGGACCAGAAAAAUGCACAGCUGAUGUGGGAUAAUACAAAAUGGACAUGCUGGUGGGUAUGGGGGUUGGACCCCAAGAGGAACCCAUAGGGAGUGAGUGGGUGGGAAUAGAACCACUGAAAGGCAGGAGAAGGUACAGGAAAGAGGGAGAAGACACAUUCACUGAAGUACACUGGCCACUUCAAUUGUUAAUAAUCAGCUCACCCUGCCCUGGUGUUUACUCCCAGGAGUCCACAGUGCAGAUGGGCUCAGAGCCUGGGAGAGGGUGGGACACACAAGCAGGGAACUGGACAGGGCUAUGAGAAUCAGAUUUGGGGCUCUGUCAGCCGAAGCCCCCAAGGUCUCUCACAGGAAUCUGAACUAGCAGAUACAAUGAUCCAGUACCUCUAGCAACUUCAUCGCAAAGGAGAAGGCUGAAGUUUCCAUCACGUCAGAGGAAUCCAGGUUCUCGAAGACAGCAGCUGGGGAGAGAAGCAGUGGUUUUGAGAGAGAAAUCUGACGUGAUGCAUAGAGGGCCCGGGCAGGCUGUGUCUACACCUUAGCAAACACUGUGCUCAGGCUGAAAGACUCUUGGCACAUUAUGACCUGGGUUGUUCCACAGCGGAACAAGUAAAGUGACUCGGUGUCUUUCUGAUGAAAGUGUGGCUCCCAGGCAAUGGCAUUUGUCACCCAGACAGAAGUCCAGAAUCCCGGGUUCCAUCAGCCAGACCCAAUCAGAAUCUGUGUUUUUAUAUAAGGAGCUGUGUGUGAUGGUUAGUAUUGGUUGCCAACUUGACAGGCUCUGGAAUCAGCAUGGAGACAAGCCUCUGGGUAUGUCUGUGAGAGCUUAUCCAGAUUGGUGGCUUGAAGUGGGAAAACCCACCCUCAACAUGGUUGGCAGCUUCCCUUGGACUGGGGUCCUGGGCUGAA